GGGGGUGUAGCUCAGCUGGGAGAGCGUCGCGUUCGCAAUGCGAAGGUCAGGGGUUCGAUCCCCCUCACCUCCACCA
rnacentral:tRNA from 1 species